GCCCCGGUGGUGCAGUGGUUAAAUGCCUGUACUGCAGCCAACCAUAAGGUUGUGGGUUCAAUACCAGCCAGGGGCU
rnacentral:tRNA from 1 species